UUGCUGUGAUGAAAGUGUUCCCAAAACCAUUCGUAGUUUCCACCAGAAGUCUUAUGUUGGCAAGAUCCUUCCUUGGAUGUCUGAGCGA